rnacentral:rRNA from 1 species
UACGUAGGGACCGAGCGUUGUCCGGAAUCAUUGGGCGUAAAGAGCGUGUAGGCGGCCACUUAAGUCCUGCGUGAAAUCUUGCGGCUCAACCGCAAGCGGUCGUGGGACACUGGGUGGCUAGAGUGCGGGAGAGGAGAGUGGAAUUCCUGGUGUAGCGGUGGAAUGCGCAGAUAUCAGGAAGAACACCCGUGGCGAAGGCGGCUCUCUGGAACGCAACUGACGCUGAGACGCGAAAGCGUGGGGAGCAAACAGG